AUUGAACGCUGGCGGCAUGCUUUACACAUGCAAGUCGAACGGUAACAGGUUAAGCUGACGAGUGGCGAACGGGUGAGUAAUGCAUCGGAACGUGCCCGAUCGUGGGGGAUAACGCAGCGAAAGCUGCGCUAAUACCGCAUACGAUCUGAGGAUGAAAGCGGGGGACCGUAAGGCCUCGCGCGAUCGGAGCGGCCGAUGUCAGAUUAGGUAGUUGGUGGGGUAAAGGCUCACCAAGCCAACGAUCUGUAGCUGGUCUGAGAGGACGACCAGCCACACUGGGACUGAGCCACGGCCCAGACUCCGACGGGAGGCAGCAGUGGGGAAUUUUGGACAAUGGGCGAAAGCCUGAUCCAGCAAUGCCGCGUGCAGGAAGAAGGCCUUCGGGUUGUAAACUGCUUUUGUACGGAGCGAAAAGGCUCUCUCUAAUACAGGGGGCUCAUGACGGUACCGUAAGAAUAAGCACCGGCAAACUACGUGCCAGCCGCCGCCGUAA
rnacentral:rRNA from 1 species